rnacentral:other from 1 species
AAUUCCAGCGAGAGGCAGAGGGAGCGAGCGGGCGGGCCGCCGGGGUGGAAGAGCGGAGGGAGCACCGCAGCUCCGAGCGUUCUGGGAAGGAGCCCCAGAGGCUUGGAUAGGGGCUUCGCCUCGGGCCCCGCCGCCCCCUCCCCGCCCUCCCGCUGACCCCACCGUCGGCCCGCGGCGCUCGCCUGGUCCGGGAAACUUUACGCGUUGCAGCGGGCGGACACUUUGCCCUGGGACUUACAACAGCCGGCGAGGACGCAGGAGGCUAUUCCUUCUAUUUGGGGACACUUCCCAGCCUC